UGCCUGGGCUGGUCUCGAACUCCUGGGCUAAAGUGAUGCUCCAGCCUUGGCCUGUCCAAGUGCUGGGAUUACAGGCAUGAACCGCGAUGCUUGGCCUAUAAAGUGACCUUUUGUAUACUACAAUUUCCUUCAUCCCUCCUAUCUCCCAACACUGCUUCUCCAGGAACACCUCCAACUCCUCUGAUCACUGGCCAUCGGCUUCUGUCCUCACCGUUCUGGACAGGAUCCCCAGAAUACACAUUCUUGGGACUAAACUGACCAGCCCAGAAGGGGCAGGCAGAGCUCCUAACACCCUGGAUAUCUACGGUUGUGGUUCUGCAACCAACCUUAGAUCAACUAAAAAUCCCAUCAUGAAAUCACCAGGAAUCACAGAAUAUGACCACAGGCCACGUGGCAGACACUUCAGUCAGGCCUAGUUAGGCUGGAAUAAUGACAUCAAAAGGAUGAAAUCUCCACUGACACAUUGCUCCAAUUUUUCUAGUCGUUUUUAACAUUUUCUCUCUUUCAUGUUAUUUGUAGCCAUAGAAAACCAUUGCUUCUA